AGAGUUUGAUCCUGGCUCAGGAUGAACGCUGGCGGCGUGCCUAAUACAUGCAAGUAGAACGCUGAAGCUUGGUGCUUGCACCGAGCGGAUGAGUUGCGAACGGGUGAGUAACGCGUAGGUAACCUGCCUGGUAGCGGGGGAUAACUAUUGGAAACGAUAGCUAAUACCGCAUAACAGUCGACAUUGCAUGAUGUUGAUUUGAAAGGGGCAAUUGCUCCACUACCAGAUGGACCUGCGUUGUAUUAGCUAGUUGGUGAGGUAACGGCUCACCAAGGCGACGAUACAUAGCCGACCUGAGAGGGUGAUCGGCCACACUGGGACUGAGACACGGCCCAGACUCCUACGGGAGGCAGCAGUAGGGAAUCUUCGGCAAUGGGGGCAACCCUGACCGAGCAACGCCGCGUGAGUGAAGAAGGUUUUCGGAUCGUAAAGCUCUGUUGUAAGUCAAGAACGAGUGUGAGAGUGGAAAGUUCACACUGUGACGGUAGCUUACCAGAAAGGGACGGCUAACUACGUGCCAGCAGCCGCGGUAAUACGUAGGUCCCGAGCGUUGUCCGGAUUUAUUGGGCGUAAAGCGAGCGCAGGCGGUUUGAUAAGUCUGAAGUUAAAGGCUGUGGCUCAACCAUAGUUCGCUUUGGAAACUGUCAAACUUGAGUGCAGAAGGGGAGAGUGGAAUUCCAUGUGUAGCGGUGAAAUGCGUAGAUAUAUGGAGGAACACCGGUGGCGAAAGCGGCUCUCUGGUCUGUAACUGACGCUGAGGCUCGAAAGCGUGGGGAGCGAACAGGAUUAGAUACCCUGGUAGUCCACGCCGUAAACGAUGAGUGCUAGGUGUUGGAUCCUUUCCGGGAUUCAGUGCCGCAGCUAACGCAUUAAGCACUCCGCCUGGGGAGUACGACCGCAAGGUUGAAACUCAAAGGAAUUGACGGGGGCCCGCACAAGCGGUGGAGCAUGUGGUUUAAUUCGAAGCAACGCGAAGAACCUUA
rnacentral:rRNA from 1 species